GGUAUCUUCCAUGCUAAUGAGCUGGUACAUGAGCGGGUAUUACACGGGACUCUACCAGGGAAUGAAACGGUAAGGUUUAGCUACCAGCUUUAUUACCUAGGCAAUAGAGUCUCUUCUCUUGCAGUUCGGUUCUGUAGGUCUCGAGCCCAACAGAGCGCCCAGACCCGGAGGAGCAAGCGGAAUCUUCCAUGCUAAUGAGCUGGUACAUGAGCGGGUAUUACACGGGACUGUACCAGGGAAUGAAACGGUAAGGUUUAGCUACCAGCUUUAUUACCUAGGCAAUAGAGUCUCUUCUCUUACAGCUCGGUUCUGUAGGUCUCGAUCCCAACGGAGCGCCCAGACCCGGAGGAGCAAGCGGUAUCUUCCAUGCUAAUGAGCUGGUACAUGAGCGGGUAUUACACGGGACUGUACCAGGGAAUGAAACGAGCAAAGCAAAGUCGCAAGCGGGUAUGAUAUUCAACCAACCACUAAGAGCGAAUGAAAGAAUGUUUUCAAUUUUUAUAAAUAAUGCAUUUUUCGUUUAAUUAAAAUGAAUAUUAGGAAUUCAUUCAUUAAAGUAUGCCUGUGGAUUUAAGAAGUUUUAUGUACAAAAUAUACAAUUUCAAUAUUUUGA